AUCCAUCUGACGAGUCCCAAAUGGGAUGAAACGCGCGUCCUGGAU
rnacentral:hammerhead_ribozyme from 1 species